CUGGGCUGCAGCAGCAAGCACGAAAUCUCAAUCUCUGCUCUGGUCCUGCCAACGUCCACUUCAUUUCUCACAUUUCAGAGAACUCAGCAUUCUCUAAGGACUCUGCUCUUUUCUGCGAGUGUCUGCCCUCAUGUUGCCUCCUUUGCCUUCCACACUCUUCCUCAGCCCCCACCACUACCUAAAUCCUCAGGACUCAGCUCAAACUGCCCCUCCCCAGGAAGCUCUCAGGGUGGUUGGUUUCCGUCCUCACCACCCAGUGCCUCAAGGGCAGCGCUCGGUGCCGGUGUGCCAGUGUCCGGCGUCCCCGUCUCUGCCCCGGCAGACCCUGGACUCUCAAGGUAAGCGACUAUGUCUUACUCACUUUCUCCCCAGCCUAGUGGCUGCAACCGUGUCUGAAACCCAGUGGAGGCUCAGGAGAUGCUACUUGAAUGAAUAAGGGAGUGGAUGGAUGAAAUCAUGAAUAUGCAUGUGUGUGUGUGUUUGUGUGUGUGACACACACACGUUUACCUGUGGGUGAGCUGACCGUAUGUCAGGCUGAAUUUGGAGUACCUGCAAUGGUUUGAAUGUUUGUCUCCUCCACAACUUAUGUAGAAAUUUAAAUCCCAUUGUGAUGGGAUUGGGAGGUGGGACCUUUACAAGGUGAUUAGGCCACGAGGGCUCCAUGUUCCUGAAUGGAUUAAUGCAAUUCCUCAGGAGUGGGUUUGUUGUCCUUGGAGUGGGUCUUUAUGAGAGGACAAGUUUGCUCUCUCUUGUCUUUCCACAUUCUGCCAUGAGAUGAUGCAGCAAGAAGACCCUUGCCAGAUGCCAGCCCCUUGACCCUGGACUUCCCAGCCUCCAGAACUGUGAGAAAUGUUCCUGAGAUAGUCACGUCUAGAGACCAGGCUCGUCUGGGGUGUGUGUCGUCAGCGAUGGCAAGAGGAAGAGUGUGAGGAUCUCUCUGAAUCACAAGUCGGGAUCCAGGUUUUCGCAAACUUGUUUGCAUGACAUGUGGCAGACAGAACAAUGGCCUCAACACACCCUCGUCCUUGGAACUGAAAACAUGCACGUUACACGGCAAAGGAAACUGAAGCUGCAGAUGGAAUUAAGGCCUCGUCUUCAAAUACCGUCAUGUUGGGGAUUAAGGCUUCAGCUUACGGAUGUUGGAGGGGACACAAGUCAGUCCACUGAGUAUGGGAAUGGGAAGAUUGUGUCCAGAGGGGACAGAUUGUCUGGGAUGAAGUGGGGAGAGGUUAAGGAAAGCAGGAGUGGGAGUGCUUAGGUGGAGAGUCAGAGCCCCAGGGACGCUCCAGACUUGGGGACAGUGUAACAAAGCCUGGGGUCACAGACAGCCGCUUCCUUUAUCCUUUGUAGCUGCCUAGUGCCCUGGGAUUGCUUUGGGUGUGUUCUCCGAGGUAGGGGCGGGGGAAGAAGAAGGCUGUUUACUGAGGCACUCUACGUGUAAGUCAGUCUUCGAAAGGCUAUGAGCAGAUGUCAUUUUUAAUCACCCUUGUUAAGAGAUAGGGGAGAGAAGGUUCUGGAAAGUUCUGUAACUUGCCCAGGGCACCUGACCUCUCAAAGCCUAUAUUCUCCAUGAUACUCACUUUACUCUGAAUAAUUCCCCCCAGUUAAACCAUGGAAAAGCAGGAGAAAGGACGAGAUCUUCUGUGACCUUAAACGUAGGGCUUAAAACAGUGCCUGGCACGUAACCGGAGCUCAGGAAGUCUUUCUUGAAUAAACAAAGAAGUAGUUUCCUUUCCUUGAAGACUAACCAUUUGGAGUGGUAAUCUAUAAUGUUUAGAUGCUCCCUAACUUGUCAUUUAUUCUCUUUGAUUGCUUACUAGCUUUUUUUUUUAAAGUUCUAGCAUUAUGUCCAAAUAAAGCCCAAAGUUUACAAGCGUUCCAGCUA